GAUGAACGCUGGCGGCGUGCCUAAUACAUGCAAGUCGAACGCAUUGAGAAAAGUGCUUGCACUUUUCAAUUUGAGUGGCGAACGGGUGAGUAACACGUGGGCAACCUACCUGAUAGCGGGGGAUAACGAGUGGAAACAUUCGCUAAUACCGCAUAACAAUAGAGAAGGCAUCUUCUUUAUUUAAAAGGCGCUUUCAAGCGUCACUAUCAGAUGGGCCCGCGGUGCAUUAGUUAGUUGGUGGGGUGAAGGCCUACCAAGACGAUGAUGCAUAGCCGGGUUGAGAGACUGAUCGGCCACAUUGGGACUGAGACACGGCCCAAACUCCUACGGGAGGCUGCAGUAGGGAAUCUUCCACAAUGGACGAAAGUCUGAUGGAGCAACGCCGCGUGUGUGAUGAAGGCUUUCGGGUCGUAAAGCACUGUUGUAUGGGAAGAAAUGCUAGGCUAGGAAAUGAGCUUAGUUUGACGGUACCAUACCAGAAAGGGACGGCUAAAUACGUGCCAGCAGCCGCCGCCG
rnacentral:rRNA from 1 species